rnacentral:rRNA from 1 species
ACAUGCAAGUCGAACGCAGUAGCAAUACUGAGUGGCAAACGGGUGAGUAUAAUGUGGGAAUCUGCCUUUUGGUUUGGAAUAACACGGGGAAACUUGUGCUAAUACCGAAUAAGCCCUUACGGGGAAAGUUUUAACGCCGAAAGAUGAGCCCGCACUUGAUUAGCUAGUUGGUAAGGUAAAAGCUUACCAAGGCAACGAUCAAUAGCUGUUCUUAGAGGAAGACCAGCCACAUUGGGACUGAGACACGGCCCAGACUCCUACGGGAGGCAGCAGUGGGGAAUCUUGCACAAUGGGGGAAACCCUGAUGCAGCGAUGCCGCGUGAGUGAAGAAGGCCCUUGGGUUGUAAAACUCUUUCGUCGGGGAAGAAAAUGACUGUACCCGAAUAAGAAGGUCCGGC